GAUGAACGCUGGCGGCGUGCCUAAUACAUGCAAGUCGAGCGAACAGACGAGGAGCUUGCUCCUCUGACGUUAGCGGCGGACGGGUGAGUAACACGUGGAUAACCUACCUAUAAGACUGGGAUAACUUCGGGAAACCGGAGCUAAUACCGGAUAAUAUAUUGAACCGCAGGGUUCAAUAGUGAAAGACGGUGUUGCUGGCACUUAUAGAUGGAUCCGCGCCGUAUUAGCUGGUUGGUAAGGUAAAGGGUUACCAAGGCAACGAGGCGUAGCCGACCUGAGAGGGUGGUCGGCCACCCUGGAACUGGGACACGGUCCAGACUCCUACGGGAGGCCGCAGUAGGGAAUCUUCCGCAAUGGGCGAAAGCCUGACGGAGCAACGCCGCGUGAGUGAUGAAGGUCUUCGGAUCGUAAAACUCUGUUAUUAGUGAAGAACAAAUGUGUAAGUAACUAUGCACGUCUUGACGGUACCUAAUCAGAAAGCCCCGGCUAACUACGUG
rnacentral:rRNA from 1 species